rnacentral:lncRNA from 1 species
AUUAAUUGUGGUAUGUUUAAGUAACAAAUUAGAGAACAGAAGCAACUGGCCAGAGAAGUGUAAAAGUGUGUGCCAUGCCCACCUUCAGAGUUCUCUGAUUUGAUAUAGAACUAUGGUUUUAUAUGAAAAAAACAAAAUUCUGUUAAAGAUAAUACGUAUAGUGUCUUUCUUUGAGGGUAUGAGCUUCCUCCUACAUAGACUAGAAAAGAGAGUAUUAAUUCUUGCUAGACACGAGUUUGUCGUGAAGAUCAGUCCAUGACCAUUUGCCUAUGACUCUUUUCCAGAUGUUGAAGGUCAAGGAUGAAAGGAAUGUGAUGUUAUGCUAAAGAACAAUUUGAAGCUUGUAACAUAAUACUGGUAACUCGGAUUAACCACACAUUGAAAAGGAGUAUGCGAAAGUUAAUAAUCAACUGCAUUAGAAUAGGAUUCUAUGUACAAAUAAAAGCUCUCUCUUAACAACACUCAAGGAGUCUGAAUACUAGAAAACAAAGAAAUCCUUCUUUCAAGAUAUAUUCAAAGCAGCCCUUGACAUAAAUACCUCGUGGAAUACAUCAAAAGAAAUUACCUACAAAUGCUGCUUAAACUUCAUGAACAACGUAAUGUGUUGCACAAGUAGCUUAAAUUGCAUAAAAAACCUUCGAGGUUUUGCCCAAGUUCAAACUAAUUAAUAACUAUAGAUAUGAUGACUAAACUCGGAAAAAAUCAACAAAAGAAAAGGAUUUGCAGCACAAGCCAUGUAUUAUUUUCAGUUUGGGUCUCAACUACAAUAACACAAGCCAUGUCUCGUUAAUUCUCUAUGAUUUCUGAUUCUAGUCAAGCACAUUAUGUAGUAAGAGAGUAAUUAAGGCAAAGAUGAAAACGCCUUUAUGAAAUGCAACAGUAAAAAAAUGAACGGUAGUAAUAUUUGGAAUAGAAUGAGUCUGCACCAAGGGAUUUAUCUUGCGAGAAAUGAAACAUAUGCAGUAGAGAAAGCAACCUAAGCAUUCUAACUGAUUUCUGAUCAUAAGCCAGCAAAUGAAUGAGAAAAUAACUAAAGACUUGCAACAACAAAUAUCAUCAGUAUUUUGUUUAAUUAGUCUAUGUCCUCUACAAGACUGAUAUAGAUUCUUUCAAGUGUUCCCCUACUCUCCAAAACCUGCAACAUAUAAAGAGAAAAAACCAUCAGCGGUCGAAAAGAUCAAGAAAAGCAUACGAGCUUCAGACAGGGAAGUGGUAGUUGACAACUACGGCAUGCAAGAAACACAAGCCAAAGUACUUGCUAACUUUUAUCUCUAAACAUGGUUAACAGAAAGUGUUGAUAUGCAUAAGACCGGGCAUAUAAUGCAAGAGUCAUCUACCUCAGCUGUGGCGAAAAAAGCAGAACGCUUGUUCAAGCUGGCACAUAUUCUGCUUGAGUGAUGAGAAAUACCUUGCAACAGGAAGAGGAGCAAAGUUCUUAUGGAAAUAGUCAAAUGUCUGGAUUUGAGUCCCCCUUCCUUUUCACCAAAGGAGUCCUGUUAGAUAUGUAAAUAGUAGAACCCUAAUCCAAAGUGUAUUAGGAGUAUGUUAGGUUAUGUGUAUUAUAUAUAGGGCUCAUUGUAUCAUGUUUAAUAUCAAUUAUAUAUUUUUCUCCCGU